rnacentral:rRNA from 1 species
UGGCUCAGAUUGAACGCUGGCGGCAUGCCUUACACAUGCAAGUCGAACGGCAGCGGACCUUCGGGUGCCGGCGAGUGGCGAACGGGUGAGUAAUAUAUCGGAACGUACCUUUCAGUGGGGGAUAACGUAGCGAAAGUUACGCUAAUACCGCAUAUUCUGUGAGCAGGAAAGCAGGGGAUCGCAAGACCUUGCGCUGAUUGAGCGGCCGAUAUCAGAUUAGCUAGUUGGUGAGGUAAAGGCUCACCAAGGCGACGACCUGUAGCGGGUCUGAGAGGAUGAUCCGCCACACUGGAACUGAGACACGGUCCAGACUCCUACGGGAGGCAGCAGUGGGGAAUUUUGGACAAUGGGCGCAAGCCUGAUCCAGCCAUGCCGCGUGAGUGAAGAAGGCCUUCGGGUUGUAAAGCUCUUUCGGCCGGGAAGAAAUCGCACGGGUUAAUACCCUGUGUGGAUGACGGUACCGGAAUAAGAAGCACCGGCUAACUACGUG